rnacentral:rRNA from 1 species
UACGGAGGGUGCAAGCGUUAUCCGGAUUCACUGGGUUUAAAGGGUGCGUAGGAGGGCAGGUAAGUCAGUGGUGAAAUCCUGGGGCUUAACCCAGAACUGCCGUUGAUACUAUCGGUCUUGAAUGUCGUGGAGGUGAGCGGAAUAUGUCAUGUAGCGGUGAAUGCUUAGAUAUGAACAUAGAACACAAUUGCGAAGGCAGCUUAGCCU